ACAACAAAUAUCUCCCUCGUUCUUUUAUUUUAAGACUUAUAUUGGAACUUUCAAUGAAGUUACAAUUAAAUAUAGAAGUUUAUUUUUGUCAAAUCUUAUAAAUAUAUUUAAAAUGUUGACUUCUAUGGCAGUACAACAAUAUUUUUAUUCAGGCAUCUGAUAACGCACCAACAUCGACGCCAUCUAUGUUCUUAAAGGCCCAUUUCCAGUUUGCAAGAAGUGAAAGUAAAUGGGAAUUUAUUACAACCAAAACACUCUGAAAGUGGUUGAUUGAACAGUAAUUAAGUUGUUUCAUUCUCAACACACAUGAUGUUUGUCGCGGCAGAAUGCACCCCAACGUCUUUUAAAGGCUUUACCCUGAUUAUGCCAGCAAUCUCUGUUGGAAAUGUGGGGCAGCUGGCAGUGGACCUGAUUGUUUCUACGCUCAACAUGUGUCGAGUCGGAUACAUCCACACUGACUGUCUCAUCCCUAUGGCAGGGAACAACCCUUAUGCUACAUUCGCUGAGAACGCCAACGACCUCAGUACCAAUGCAGAAGUGUACUCUUCUCCAGAGUUGAGGUUGGCAGUUCUUCAGAUCAGAACCCCAAUUAUCCAGACAAAGUCCAAGAAGUUCUGUAAGCUGAUGGUGUCUUGGAUCAAAGCCAGUGGUUUCUCCAGGACUGUCGUGCUGUCCAGCAGUCAUGCUUACCAGAGGGAUGACCAACAGCUACUGGGGUCUCCCCUGCGUUACCUGCAGACUCCCUCCAUGCAGAAGGUGACUGGUGACCGGCUGAAGGAGAUGGAUUGGAAGGAGAUGGAGACAGUAUCUACCUUCCCUGGGGUUACUGACUCAGAGCAGCGCCUCUAUAUACCUGGAGGGGGCGCCACUAAAGGCCUCUUCACUGACAGCUGUGCUGAGGACAUUCUUCUCCAUGGUGUUGUCUCUGUGUUCCAGCUGUGCUGAGGACAUUCCUCUGGUGGUGGUGCUGAUCUUCUGCUCUGAAGGAGACAACAUCCCAGACGCCUUCACUCUCCUCAACCACCUCAACACUUGGCUCCACCUAGUGGACGCACCUGCCCAGACGCAGCCAAAGUGGAGGAUACCAGCAUCAUGGAGGCUUCUCUUUGGCAGUGGCAUCCCCCCUGCACUCUUCUAAAUCACCCAGUGGAAUCUCCCCUGCCCCAACUCUCCUAAAUCACCCAGUGGAAUCACCCCUGCCCCAACUCUUCUAAAUCACCCAGUGGAAUCUCCCCUGCCCCAACUCUCCUAAAUCACCCAGUGGAAUCUCCCCUGCCCCAACUCUCCUAAAUCACCCAGUGGAAUCACCCCUGCCCCAACUCUUCUAAAUCACCCAGUGGAAUCACCCCCUACCCCAACUCUUCUAAAUCACCCAGUGGAAUCACCCCCUGCCCCAACUCUCCUAAAUCACCCUGUGGAAUCCCCCCUACCCCAACUCUCCCCUGCCCCAACCGGUGUUAUGAGUCCAGGUUUAUAGUCCUGAAGUGUGCCUAGUGGUUAUCAUUACCUACCCUGGUGAUGAGAAUCAAUAUUUACUCUACGGUUAUUAAAAGUAUUAAAUCAUC